rnacentral:rRNA from 1 species
GAUGAACGCUGGCGGCGUGCCUAAUACAUGCAAGUCGAGCGAACGGACGAGAAGCUUGCUUCUCUGUUGUUAGCGGCGGACGGGUGAGUAACACGUGGAUAACCUACCUAUAAGACUGGGAUAACUUCGGGAAACCGGAGCUAAUACCGGAUAAUAUUUUGAACCGCAUGGUUCAAAAGUGAAAGACGGUCUUGCUGUCACUUAUAGAUGGAUCCGCGCUGCAUUAGCUAGUUGGUAAGGUAACGGCUUACCAAGGCAACGAUGCAUAGCCGACCUGAGAGGGUGAUCGGCCACACUGGAACUGAGACACGGUCCAGACUCCUACGGGAGGCAGCAGUAGGGAAUCUUCCGCAAUGGGCGAAAGCCUGACGGAGCAACGCCGCGUGAGUGAUGAAGGUCUUCGGAUCGUAAAACUCUGUUAUUAGGGAAGAACAGAUGUGUAAGUAACUGUGCACAUCUUGACGGUACCUAAUCAGAAAGCGACGGCUAACUACGUG